GCCCUACUGAAGGUAUGGAGUGCAUUUCAUGCAAGAUGACACUGAGAAGAUUAGUAUGGCCCCUGCGCAAGGAUGACACGCACAAAUCGAGAAAUGGUCCAAAUUUUA